UUCAGCUUCUGUUGCUCCAUGUGUCGUGCUCCAUAACUCCAUCUCACAGAGCAGGAGGAACACUGCCAAGGCUUUUUCUGGGAAUUUGCUCUGGUCCUGCUACUUCCCUGGUGGUGCUCAACUGAUGUGGUUUGUUUGCAGGGGGAAUAAAAUGCUCAGCUGUCAGCUCCUGUAGGGCCUGUCAGAGACCAGGGCAAGGACCAGCCCCUCUUUCAGCUCUGUGUUGCACAGCCAUGUUGUAAGCUCAGCUGCAGAUGAGAAGUGCUUUGUUUGUGACUCCUGGGUGCUCUGCACUUGAUGCAUCUCCCACAGAUGCAGGGCAAACUCUGCUCCUCCCGUCUGGCCUGGCUUGCAGUGAUGGAUUAAGUGGGAAGUCUCCAAGCACUUUAAAAGGAAGAUAACAUCACAGAUUGAAAAAUUUCCCAUCUUGAGGCUUCAGUGACCACGUUUGGAGCCAGCCAGAGGAACCCACUGUUCUCUCUCAGGGGCUGCCUGUGGUGCUGCAUUAACAUCACAUCUCUGUGGUGAAG